rnacentral:rRNA from 1 species
GUAGGGAAUAUUGGGCAAUGGAUGCAAGUCUGACCCAGCCAUCCCGCGUGCCGGAAGAAGGCCCUCAGGGUUGUAAACGGCUUUUGACGGUGAAGAAUCGACAGGAUGCGUCCUGUUUUGACUGUAGCCGUUGACUAAGCACCGGCUAACUCCGUGCCAGCAGCCGCGGUAAUACGGAGGGUGCGAGCGUUGUCCGGAUUUAUUGGGUUUAAAGGGUGCGUAGGCUGGAAGGUCAGUCAGCGGUGAAAAGCUGUCGCUUAACGAUAGUCUUGCCGCAGAUACUUCCUUUCUUGGAUGAGGAGGAGGCCACUGGAACGGAUGGUGUAGCGGUGAAAUGCAUAGAUAUCAUCCAGAACACCGAUUGCGAAGGCAGGUGGCUGUACCUUAAUCGACGCUGAUGCACGAAAGCAUGGGGAGCAAACAGGAUUAGAAACCCCAGUAGUCC